rnacentral:misc_RNA from 1 species
GUGAAUCAUCAAAUCUUUGAACGCAAAUUGCACUCUCUGGUAUUCCGGAGAGUAUGCCUGUUUGAGGGUCAGUUUAAAUAAAAAUCGGUUUGUUGUCUGCCUUUCUUGUUAACGAACCGGUUUUAGUUGGUUUGGCUUUCGGUUAAUUGACCUAAAAUUUUGCUGGAUUUUUUUCGAGUGUUUUUAAGUGAUUUUGCAUGCUUUUGAUA